GUUACUUGGCUAAAAUACAGUAAAAAUGUCAAUUAAUGAAGGUCGGCAUACAAAAUAUAAACUCCUCUAUCCGAAUACACUCAAACAGUAGCUUGAAAAAUGAUAAAUGACAAAUUAAAACCUUACUUUGAGCGAUUAUAAUUUUAAAAAAUCUAUUUAAGUUUUCAGUAGCUUUCAUCUAAAGCAAACACGUCUUGUCAUCUGAGUCACUUCAGCGCCUUUUAUAGCGACUAAACCAAAUUACUUGUACUCGUAUAAUAGAAAAAGCUGCUGCUUAGUUCCCGCCUUAGCCCAGUGGGGAGUGAAAUAGCCAACUAAGUAUAUACUAACUAUAUAUACAGCUGUCAGCCAUCAACGGGCAAAGUGUUGACAAAAGCAGCCGACAACAUCAGACGUCAGCAGCUGCGGUCCAGGAUGACUUAGACAGUCCGCUCAUCCUCGCCUGGAUUGGCUGCAGCAACAAAUCCAAGCGCGGAAAAUUGUCUGUACCAGGCUGACAGUACGCGAGCAGGAGGAGCGGGGCUAUAACAUGAAGUUUACUAAACAUAUUAAAAAAAAAA